GCUUGCUUAAGCAAUGCAUAUACUAAAAUUGGAACAAUAUAGCAAACAUUAACAUGGCUCCUAUGCAAGGAUGACAAAGAUUUAUGAACCUUUCUAUAUUUUU